GACGAACGCUGGCGGCGUGCUUAACACAUGCAAGUCGAGCGGUAAGGCCCUUUCGGGGUACGACGAGCGGCGAACGGGUGAGUAACACGUGGGUGACCUGCCCUCAGCUCUGGGAUAAGCCUGGGAAACCGGGUCUAAUACUGGAUAUGACUCCAUGACGCAUGUUGUGGGGUGGAAAGCCUUGUGCGGCUGAGGAUGGGCCCGC
rnacentral:rRNA from 1 species